UGCACACCUUGACGGUCCCUAACCAGAAAGCCACGGCUAACUACGUGCCAGCAGCCGCGGUAAUACGUAGGUGGCAAGCGUUAUCCGGACUUAUUGGGCGUAAAGCGCGCGUAGGCGGUUUUUUAAGUCUGAUGUGAAAGCCCACGGCUCAACCGCGGCGGGUCAUUGGCAACUGGCAAACUUGAGUGCAGAAGAGGAAAGUGGAAUUCCAUGUGUA
rnacentral:rRNA from 1 species